rnacentral:rRNA from 1 species
UACGGAGGAUCCAAGCGUUAUCCGGAUUUAUUGGGUUUAAAGGGUGCGUAGGCGGCUUAUUAAGUCAGGGGUGAAAGACGGUGGCUCAACCAUCGCAGUGCCCUUGAUACUGAUGAGCUUGAAUACACUUGAGGUAGGCGGAAUGUGACAAGUAGCGGUGAAAUGCAUAGAUAUGUCACAGAACACCAAUUGCGAAGGCAGCUUACUAAGGUGCAGUUGACGCUGAGGCACGAAAGCGUGGGGAUCAAACAGG